UGCCAAGACAUCACUGUCGAUCCGCCGU
rnacentral:sRNA from 1 species